rnacentral:lncRNA from 1 species
CCUAAUCACAUCUAAUACUCUUUUACACUUUACAGUAACUUUCUUUAUUUGACCUGCCUAUGUUAAACUAGCAUCAAAAACCAUUCCCAAAAACCUAAAGGAUUCUACUUUCUCCAGAACAUGUCCAUAUAAUUUAAGAUUAAAAACAGUCAUGUGAUCAGUCAGCAGACAUGUGUAGCCGCUUCUUCUUCUUCUUUAAGUUUUAACAGCAACUUGCAUCCUAGAAGUUGCAUUACUGCCAUCUUCUGGAAUUAUAUUACUCCUACACCGGUUAAAACAUCAAAUCCUCGUCAUCAGUCUUUUUAAGGAAGCAGAACAGAUAUUUCCUUCCUUGAUUUUUUCUGCCACAUUCUAAUAUGUCCUUUAGUCCACGUCCAGUUAGUCCUAAUCUGUCAACUCUCUCAUUUCCCAUUAUUCCUUUAUGUGCAGGAAUCCACAUCAUCUGUGCCGUUCUGCUUAAUUCUCAAGAUUUUGGUCUGAUUGCUCUGUUGUGGACAGCUGCAGAUAAUCAGCAGGGCCAUUAAAUCUGACAAAAGUCUUUUAAAUGGCUUUAAAGGUUUUAUUAUUAUUAUUAUUAUUUAUUUAUUUAUUUGUUUAAUUCACCAUGGUAAUAUCUUAAUUUCUCUGGUCCAUAGGUUAGAAAGCGUUUUUUGAUGUGAACAGCAACAUUCACAUAGAGAGGUCACCAAAUCUGGCAAGGCAGCAUAACAGGUCACCAAAAUCCGUUACCGAAAUCUAUUUCUAAUCUAAUCUAUUAGAAUGCAUUUAAAGAUAUUCAAAAACACUCUUUUGGUGUCUGAGCUUCUCUCUUCUAUAUUUUAGACAUCAUUUUGGUCUGUUGUGAACUGCAACAGACAUAUACUGUAGGGUCACAGGAUCCGACAAGCAGAAUAACAGCUUGCUAAAAUCUCUCAGCCCACUCUUUUUCAAACAGAAUGGAUUACAUAUUAUUUAAAUUUACUUUGAUGUUUAAACUUAUCUUCUUUAUUUUAGAAGUAAUUUUGGUCUGAUGUGAACAGUUGCAGAUAUAUAGCAUGGUCAUACAAAUUUACCAGGCAGCACAUCAGGUUAUCAAAAUCUGUUUUUGCCAUCUGUUUUAAACAAGAUGACUUUAAUUGAUAUUCAAAUUCACCCUGGUGAUAUCUAAACUCCCUGAUCUGAUGCCCUGAUAAAUGAGCUUGAGUAAUAAAAUACAUCUCAUGCACAGCUUUUCAGAUGCUGCCUUUCUAAAAAUGGCAUGGAAGUUGGUAUAGAAAUAGGGGCCCUAAGGCAUCUCCAGUACUGUUGAAAUUUCUCAGCUGAUUUUUACUUGAAUGAAUUUAUAUAGUACCUUUGCAUACAGGUAAUUAAAGUAGAGUUGCCUAUGAUUUAGGUUACAUUAAGUCAUUUUAAUGAAACAUACACAAAAUUUAAAACGGCAGUGGAGCAAGUUUAAUAACACCACUAACAAACAAAUAUCUGACCCUGGACCAGAAAACCAGUUUUAAGUCGCACGGGUAUAUUUUUAGCAAUAGCCAACAAAACAUUGUAUGGGUCAAAAUUAUAGAUUUUUCUUUUAUGCCAAAAAUCAUAAGAAAAGAUCAUGUUCCAUGAAGAUAACACGGUUUUUCCUACCGUAAAUGUAUGUAAAUGUAUCAGAACUUUAUUUUUUGAUUAGUAAUGUGCAUUGCUAAGGACUUAAUUUGGAGAACUUUAAAGGCAAAUUUCUAAAUACUGAAAUUUUUUUGCACCUCCAGAUUUUCAAUUAGUUGUAUCUCGGUCAAAUAUUGUCCUUACAAACAACAUCAAUGGAAAGCUUAUUUAUUAAGCUUUCAGAUGAUGUAUAAAUCUAUUUUUUUUUUUAAAAAAUCUUCAGAUGAUGUAUAAAUCUAUUUUUUUUUUUUUUAAAAAUCGACCCUUAUGACUGGUUUUGUUGUCCGGGGUCACAUAUUUCAAAAUGUGUUACAUCACUUGCUUUUUCACCCCUACUUACACAUUUUUUGCAUAUUUUUGGUUAUAAAUAAACACAGUUUCUCUUUAUACUCUCUAUAGACCCUUCACAAGAAAAACUAAAUUAUUUAGUCAAAUGAAAGGGAAAUUCUGGGUCUUGUAGUUCUUGAAUAUGGCAGAAUAUUGAAAUAACCGUGGCUUAGCACAACUGAAACACAGUUUCCCAGAAUCCCGUCGUACUGCACUGUUGACAGAGUCACUCGGCGAGCCGAAAAGAGACGAACAUCGGGGCGAUGGACCGCUGCUGGACUCUAUGAGGAGUCGGGAUAAUAACUUUCUCAAACUGAGGACGAAACGUUUGGGAAAAUACCGCGGACACUUUUGCUCCAGCUUCAUCGGAGAGAGGUGAGAGAGAGACUACACAAGAAUGAAUGGACUACUAAGAGUUUUGUUCAUGAAUUAUGGUUAAUUAAAUAUUUAUCUUAUCUGCGAGAGAGCAUCGCGCGCCCUGCUGAACCCGCCCCUAGGUUACAAAAAAUGCCUUGAGAAACUCGCAUAUAGAACGAUAAAAAAGAUACAAACUAAACGAGGAAGACACAAGUUUGUCAUUUGGCCGACGCUGAUGUUUAAUACUGUUUAACGCAAUGAUUCACAGAAACUACGCAUAUAGAACGAUAAAAAAGAAUAACAAACUAAACGAAGGAAGACACAAGUUUGUCAUUUGGCCGACGCUGAUGUUUAAUACUGUUUAACGUCAAUGAUUCACAGCAAUGUUAAGAUGAAGUCAAGAAGAGGUCUGGUUCCGUUAGUUUAAUCGCAUUUAGGACAAGCAGUUCAUAAAAUGACUCUGCUUUUCACAAAUGCGUUUGCAGGAUAAAGUUAAUGUGUACAUACCUGGUCUCAUUUCUGUCUUUCUCGUUUUGAAAUUGUUGACAAGGGUAGAAAAUUUAAUUAGUUUCUGUUGUCAAGAAGGACGAUAUGCUGAUGUUCAGCAGAUAGUUAAUCAAAUCUAGUAGU